CUCUCUUGUCUGCUGCCCGGCGAGACGUGACUUUGUUCCUCCUUUGCCUUCUGCGAUGAUGGUGAGGCCUCCCCAGCCACGUGGAACUGUCUACUUCUGAAAGAACAGUUUCACUGAUGAAACGGAUUCAUUUCUGGCUUUCAGUCUUAAAGCUGCAUAUACAAGAAAUGCUUGAAGCCCUCGGCAUGGCCCUGUCUGUGACGCCUGCCCCGCUGGGGCCAUGGAGGGACACAGCUACUCACCCCUUCGGACUUCUUGUCAGGGAAGACGCAUGUCGACCCCCCGGCUGUGAAGUUGCAGUAAACCUUGAAGGAAUCCCUGGAGCAUCCUUGGUUAGGAUCGACCCAGUAUUCACCUGGAUUUCAGAGACGGGGAGGGAGGCAGGCAGAGUCAGAAGGAUUGCUCCCUGGAUGGUUCCGGAAGCCGCUGUGACAUUUCAGUCCAGCAGUUAAAAUGCACGCCCCAGGAAUGCCGCCAACACGGGCCUUUCUGGGGUUUACUUUAUUGCAUUUUGCUUCUCCUGCUGGGCCCAUAAAGAGAUGUGGACAAACUCAUUCACCAAGAACACAGCUGGUGCAUGAAGCAACUGGGUCAGGAACACGAGGUUCAAGCAGGUCACCCCGCCAGAAAAUGCCUAAGACCAGAUGAGAACCUGGAGAGUCUGACCUCAAAGCCUUGGCCUCUGCACCCGGCCUCACCCUGAGAUGCCUCCAUAAAGUUCAAGAGGGGAGGCUCUUGCGCACCCCGGCCCCACAGAUGGGGAGGCUGCGGCUGCCCGUCCUGUCCCUUCCGCUGUGCCUGGCUGAACUGUCCUUGCCACACUCCAUGUGUCCUGCAGGUCCAUGCCCGCUUUGGGGGGCCACCCCUGCCCCCCCAGGCCCUCACCAUCUGGGAAGUCGGGGUGGCAGAGCUGCAGGUCCUUGCAGGUGCGGGCGGGGUUCUGCUGCGUGCCCAGGGGCCGUUUCAUCUGCUCAAUCUCCAGCUUCAGAGAGUUGAGAGAGCCGAAGAUCUCUUCCAUGCCGUCCGCGUAGUCCACGUAGUUCUCGCCAUUCCCGUCGUCCAGCAGCUGGCUGGCGUCGAUGUUCCGCCGCGUCCUGGAUGCCUGGAUUGGCAGGGGCUGGAUGACCUCUCCCGGGGGGCCCUGGGGGACAGAACAGGAGCAGCGGUGGGUGAUGGAGGAUGGGAAGGGUCCCAGGAUAUGAGCAGAGCAGGGACAGCUGGGGCCACAUCUGCAGGGGUUCCCUGGGGCCUGGCAACCUGGGCUACAUGGACAUCUGUCCGCCUUAGAACUGUUUCCAUCCCUUCCUCCAGUCUCUGGAACAUUCCACACCCAUCCCCACUGCCAGGUGCUUGCCAGCAUGGAGCACCUCUCCUUUCUCUCUAGAGCUGAAACUUAACAGUUUGCAGCCUUGGGCUUGCAUCUGCCAUCCUGCCCUCAGCCACACAAAAGGCCAAGCCUUGAGGAAAGGGACCAGGUCUCCCCAGUCUGGCCUCUGCAGCCCUAGCUGGGGCUGAACACAGUGGGGCCACAUGAAUGCCUCCUGAUGCAAAGAGCCAUUCACUUCCAGAAGGCCACAGCUAAGAUGACGAUGGGAGUUGGAGAGACUCCACAACCAAAGGGGGGUGUCCAAUAGUGCACUCGCCAUGCCCUGGUUCAAACUGGGCUUCACCUUUCACCUCCAGGGCCUUGUCUAGUGCUCCCCCAUCCCAACACACACACACACAUGCACAUAUAUCCCAGACAUGCAUGUACACAUAUACAUAUGCACACACACACGGCCAUGCAUGCACGUAUACAAUAUACACACACUACACAUGCACACACAUAUGUGCCCCACAUAUAUGCAUGCAUACCCAUACACACAUCAUGCACACACACAUGCACAUACAAACCAUGUACACACACAUUACACAUGCAUGCACAUAUACAGGAUGCACGUACACAUACAGACAUGCACACACACGUGCCCAGUCACAUACACGCAUAUACUACACGUUCACACAUUCAUAUACCAUGCAUGCACACACAGCACACACGUGUAUCCUCUCUCUCCUGGCCAGCUGUUCUUCUCAGGGCCAAUUGGCCUGUAAGCUUCCUGUGAUAGACCUGUGUGGCUCAUUUCCCCGGCUGCGUGCGAGGGACAAGGCCCGGGCAUGCCACAUGGGCUUCAUGAGUCUCAGGAGGGGUCACACACACACAGUUGCUUUCUCAAUUCCCUCGGAGCUAGCCAGAGCCCCCGUCCCGCUUUCUGGGCUUCAAGGGCUACUUACCGGGGGGCCUGGGGGUCCUGGGUGGCCUGCCUCACCCUUCGGGCCAGUUGGACCCUGGGGAGAAAGAAAAGAAUCAACCCUUGGUCACAGAGGUAUGAGGGGACUUUGAAUCCACCUUCAGCUCUAGAAUGGUCCCUGGAGACCUAUGUGGGGGAGGUGGCCCUAUCAGCCACAGCAGAGAAGAGAAUGGCAGAGACCCCUGUACCCUCCUGGAUCCUUGAGAUGAGAACAGAGAGGGAUGGAGCCCUUCCUAGGGCAGGCGGCGAGCAGCCCACCUGCCUCAGUCCGCCAUGGGUCAGUGUAGAAAGAUGGGAGGAUCGUGAGCAGCAGGGCCUGAGCUAGGACGGUUGUCUGGGUAGUUUGUUCCCGUGCCAGGGGACCCGUCGCCCUCCCCUACCUUCCAGGCAUUGGCCUGGCUGGGCAGCAUGUUACUUACCGAGGAGCCCUUAGCACCUUUUGGACCAGGCGGACCCUGCAGAGAGAGGAGGGCAGAACGUCAGCAAGCCGGGUCUCAGCUCCAGCCCCACCGUGCUCCAUGUCCUGCCCAGCCUGGUCUCGCCCCUCGCCCCUCUCCCACCCGCAUCCCCCUCAAGAGUCUAUGCUUGUAUUUGCCCGGCUAGAGUGGGAGGAGGGUCGGGGCCUGGCUGGUGCUCACCCCUCGUGGAGACACAGGGUGGUCCUACCUGCCCCCGGCCAGCCUACCACCCACCCUGGCUAGGAAACCCCAGCUCAGACAGCCGCGGGGGGGGCGCAGCGGAAAAGAGCAUGUCCUGGCUCAGAAGGGGCUGAUGGAAUGCACCCCCCAGCCCUGAUAGCACACAGCAGGGGCCAGCCCUCAGCGUGCCAGGGGCCCCCGGGGGCCAUGUGUACCUGCAGCCCAGCGGCUGUGGGGAUGCCCUGGGAAUGCUGGGUCUCCCAGCAAUGUGAGACCCAGGCAGCGGUGCCAGAGGAGGGCAGCUAACUGCUCUUGUCUGGGCCAGGCUGGCCGGGCUCCUGGGAAUUGGGAGGGCUGGAGAGCCAACUACUACCUUCCGCACCCUCCCCAGAUGCCUACAGACAAGUGGCCUCGUUCCCUGAAAUGGCCACCGUUUCCUGUCCCUGUCUUCCCCACCAAAAACCAUGGCCGGGCAACGCCACUUCCUUUCUUCUGUCUCCUGGAACCCCAAUGUUGAGUUAAUGGGCAAAUCCACCCUGGAGGCCCCAAUUCCAGCUUCUCGUGUGACUUUUCCACAAUUCUCUAGCUCCACACUGAGGCCCCAAGGCUUAUCCCCACCCUCCCUGCCCUCCCAGGAAUGACCAAGCCCCUCCCAGAUACACACCGGCAGGCCAGGGGGCCCAGGAGGCCCAAUCGGGCCAGAAGGACCAGUGAUACCCUGAAAAGGACCAGAAAAUGCAGGUUAUCACCUUCAGACGAGGAGGAGCUGCGGGGCUGCAACCCUGCUACCCAGCCACACCCCUCGGCUCCCCUGUCCCUUCCCCACGGUAUGCCCUUUGGCCCCUCAGCAGCCUCCUGUGGCUGCUUUCUGAUCCUGGGCUGUGCAUGUCAGGGGAGCCAUCGACCUGAGCAUCCACCCCAAGGCUGCCAGCCCUCGGCACUGCUCCCCCGGCUGGGCUGCCAGGAACUCACUCUCAUCCCCCAGGCCACCGAGGACUUCAGGCUGAGCACCUCUUUUCACGUUCAUUUGGAAAUACAGAAACCACUGCCCUGACAUUGUGGCCCUGGCUUGGGCCCCUCUUGCUGUUUCCUGCUCAUGGUGUUAGUCUCCCCUCUAGAACUAAGCCCGGAGGGGUUGGGCAGGGAGUCCCAUCCAUGCUGACUGUCCUGUCCUGCCUGUAAAUGUGCUUUCUGCAUCCUUGGAGCGUGGAACCUCCGCUCAGACCCCUUCUCCCCACUGACUCCCUCCCAGACUGAGCUGCUGGCACAGAACAGCUUUGACCAGCUUUGCCACGGGCAGCUGGAGCCACCUGCAGCCUCUCUCCCUACAGCCCUGGAUUCCACUCAGAGCUCUCUCCGGGCAGAAGCUGGGGGCGAGGGUAGCGGAGGGCUGAUGGCCGUAUUUCACUGGGGAGGGAGCGCUUCCCUCCCUUCACCUUGUCCCUGCAGGAACUUGGGCUGUGGCUCAUUGUAAGGACCCCACAACUACCCAAGCCUGCACACCAACCCGACACCUUCAUCAGCAAUGCCGCCAAGACCAUGGUUUGGGGUGAGGGCAGGUGAGCAAACAGGGUGGACACAGGGGUGCUUUCCCCGCUGGCCGUGGGGACCCUGGAUGCCUCUCUAAUUCUCGUGGUUGCCGGGCCACCACACCCUGGGCGGCACUCCUCCGACGACCCUGCUGUGGCCUGGGGAUACCGGCAGAGGAAAACAGUCAAUGGCAUGGAGGACACUGGCCAGUGAGGUAGGGUUUGCAAUGAGCUCCACCCUUCAGCCAUGUCCUGCAACCUUCCCCGGGCCCAUAGUGAGGGUGCCACCUUACUCCCAGCCUCCAGGGGCUCUGCCUGCUCCUGCCCUGUCCCCCGCAUCCUAUGAGGCAUGGGCGUGGGUGGGCACAGCAUACUGUGCGUGUGUGUGUCCGUCACACCUUGCUCGGGACGGAAAGAUUCCCACACAGGAAUAAGGACCCGUGGCCCUCAUGGGGGAAGGACAGAGGCACUACAGGUCACCUCAUCCCCUCUCCUGCCUCCAUGGCACACGUCACCCUCCCCAGGCCACUUCCAAGUCACUCAGAGUUGUGGGACAGAGUGAAGCUCUCUGCAUGGCGUUUCCUUGGCUAUGGUUUGCAGAGGCUGCAAACUCCAAUGAGCUACAGUUUGGGGGCAGCUGGGGACAAGGUGGAAGCAGGAGCCAGAACAGCCACUCUGCCCGCAGCUCUGGCAAACACGGCUGGUUGUCACCAGUGACCUCCUGGGCAAGCGGUGGGUGACAGGCUCUCCCACAGGGCUGGGAACCAGGCAGAAUGACCUGACUUCCGAGUCCCUCCAGCUCUGGGGGACACCACGGUCAUGAGGAGGAAGCCCCGCCUGCCAGUCAGGGCAUGGAGCUGGGAGACGGCUCUGCCCAGCUCACUGUGCACCUGGGCAAGCCCAGCCCGUCAGUGUUCCCAUCUGCCAAGCAGGAUGACCGGACUCAACCGACGUGUGGACGUCCUUCCGGGCUCUGAUGGGCCUCCUGUCCCCUGGGUGCCUGCCCCAGGGAUCUAAAAUGCCUCUCGACAGCCCACAUGCAAGAAGUGCCAUCUCACGCACCUGUUCUCCCUUAGGACCGGAGGAGCCCUGGGGGCCAGGGAGACCACGGUCGCCCUUCUCACCCUGUUCACCCGGAGGACCGAUGAGCCCGAUCAGGCCUGGAUGACCCUGUGGGAAAAUGAAGACAGGAAGGGGCAUUUGAGGGAGCCACGCCUCAUGCUCGGCCACGGUGGGCCAGUUAGCACGCAGCACAGCCAUGGCACAGGAAGCUUUACAUCAUGGUCAGCCUCCCCUGGAAGGGGAACAGGCUCAACAGAGGGGCCAGGUGACGAAACGGCAGGUCCGAGGUGGCCCUUCGCUGGCCACAGUCACGUCUAAAAACAGACAGGGAGCCACAGACACUGAGACAGACCAAAGUGAUAAAGGGGUUUUCCUGAGUGGUAAUGUUUAUCUCUGUCUUUCUCUUCGUAUACGCUCUCCAAUUUCCUAUGGCAAAUCCGAACGCCUGCUCCUAUACGGAACUAAAACAAAGUUUGUGGACUGACACGGAAAGAAAGAUGCAGAGUAUUAUAGAUAUUACAAUCAUGGGUUGUUUUUCUAAAAAAAGAAGAAUCCAUGACACUCGCUGUCUAUGUUUGUCUUCUAGGAACCCAGGGCAAGCCUCGCAAGGCAGCCCCAGCUCUCAUUUGCCUUGGGGCUGGGGGCAGUGGUGGCGGACGUCAGAGUGGAAAUGAGAGGGCCCUCACUGCCUUCUGCUUCAUAUACAACCAUCUCACUCCUGAGUACCUUUUAUGUUUGUAAAUAAAUCAAUGCAAGUGGAAAACAAUUCCCAGCAGUUAGAAAAAUAAAAGGGCUUUGCUCCCACUGCAGAAAUGUCCUCACACCUCCUGCGGAAAGGAUCUGGGGCCGCUCAGCCCAGGGAGAGCAGCAACCUGGGAUCCUGGACACCCAUCAGCCGGGGCCUCUGUGCCUAGCUGGAAGGUUCUCCGUCAAUACCGCAGGGGCCUCCGGGAUCUCCCGAGCUGCUCAGGACCCCCCAGAGGCAGGGGCCAAGCCUCAAACACAGCGUGUCUAUUUUCCUUUGUCACCCCUCAGGUUCCCCACCAC
rnacentral:lncRNA from 1 species